AAAAACUGGCAACACGUCUGUCGUGUUGACCGAGAGUGAAAGAGUGCGACUGAGAAAGAAAAACAAAUAAUCAUGGUGAUGAAAAUUUGGAUUCGGGUAAAUUACUGCUGGAGCCUGUAUUUCUUCUAACUUUCGAUGCAUCAAACAAUGUAUUUGCCCUCCAACGUGGAAAAAAGCGGCCGUUCCGGACCAUCAGCAAUUGGCAGGUGAAUUUUCAAUUUCAAGGCUGCAGCUGCUGCAGACUUGACCGGAAUUGAACGUUGGAAUGCAGACUUGAUGGUGCUCCGGCUUCAGGUAUAAGUAAUUUCGAUGAACAAAUGAUUAAAUAAGAUCAGUAAAAGUACUUAAGUCAAACUAA